rnacentral:lncRNA from 1 species
ACAAAUUUUGGAACAUAAAAAUAAGAUGCUUAAAAAUCAUCUUCGAAAUGACAAUCAAGAAACAGCAGCUAUGAAGCCUGAAAAUUUGAAAAAAAGAAAAAAAAGAAAAAAAUUGAAAAAAAGAAAAGAAGGUGCAAAAGAACACAACUUAAAAGUGGCUUCAGAGGAAAAGCAAGAAAGGCUUGAAAGAAGUGAAAAUAAACAGCCGCAGGAUUCUCAAAGU